ACCAUAUCUUUUGUUUUCUCUCUCUCAUUUCUAUUUUCAUGUUCCAAUUCUUUUCCCUUCUAUUUUCUCUCUCAAGCUUUCUAUCUCCUCAAACCCUAAAUUUGUGGCCGCCCCCAUCUUCGUUUCUCCUUCCUCUGCAACUCUCAAAAGAUCUGAUUAUUGCUAGAGGAAUGAUAUGACAUAGAUGGUGUCCAGACAAUUACGAGAGAAUUUACCUGAAUGUAGCCAGGAAAAAGCACAGCAACAAUGGAAGCUGAACAACUAAAUUUAGUAUCAGAGGGUUUUGCUCAAUUGUUUCAUGUUUAUGUUGUGCUGAUGCACUGUGUUGAUUUUUUGUGGUUGUUGUGCUACUCGAAAUAUUAGAACUCUUGGAAUUUAUAUUGUGAAAAACUAUAGCUUGAUUGAACAUAUUGAUGCAGCUUUGAUUUUUGUUUUUGUGGUGAAAAAAGUUUGAAUUUUUAACCGAUUCGGUGAAAGGAAGUAGAAGAGAAACCAUGUAUCUAAUCCAAGCCCUUGAUUUUCCAGAUGAUUAUAAUACAAUUGAUUAUAGCUAACACUGAAAAUGCAGCAAUUGAUGCUCUUGGAGAUUUUCUUUUUUAGUGGUGGUCUGUAUUCUGGGAUAUUUUUAUUGCAAGGACAAAUGAGAAACAUUCUGAGAAUGUUGCAGCAUAUUUAGAGCUUCAUGAAAGGAACUGUACAUGUGAUUUGUUUGAUCCUAUAGUAUCAAAAUUCAACACAGACGAAGUCCAACGCUUUGUGGAACAUGGUAGUACUUUAAGCAUUUUCGAUAAUGAACUAGCGAUAACACAGACAACUAAGUUGCAUUGUAUUCUUAGUGUGUUGGCUUUAUUAUCGGCUUAUUAUCCAUCCAUGAAUUCCCUUUUGAUUGGCAACACUUCAAUUUUCUUAUAUUGAAUUUAAAACAAAUUGCAAAUGUGAAUUGUUGUCAUUCAGUGCUGAUAUAUUGUGUAGUAACAGUGUGUUUUCGAUAAAAAGGAACCAUCAAUGGCUCACUAUGAAAAUGUUAGUUUCAAACAUGACAAUAUAGUGUUUCAGUACCUCCUUCAUAGUGUGUCCUCAU